GCAGGGCACCCUGAGGGAGAGACAGGAAGCAGCAUGUGCUACCACCACCUGGACCACCAUUCCUCAUAUCCUGACAGAGGCAGCCCAGGACGGGGAACCCAAGAACCUUGGGAGUAGGGAUGCUUCUAGCCCAGUGUCUGUGGUCAUCCUCCAGGGAAGCAACCCCUGUGGAGAUUCAGCUUGGUAAGUGAUCCUGUGUACACUAUAGCCACGGCCAGUGAAGACCAGAAAGGAAAUGGCUCAACAUCAGAAAUGGAUGUGAUUUUGUCAGUGGAAGUAAAAUGAAAGGAGCAUUACCACUGGCUUUGCUGCUGCACCUUCAGAUCCACAGGACUUUUCCAUCUAACUGUUAUAUCUUCUGAAUACGGGACAACUUGGUGCUCCUUGACACAUUGGAGAAGCCGUUGAAAAUUGAGUGGAAACGAAAUCAAAGAAGCAGAUAAAGUUCACUUGCUGUUGUGGGCCCUGUGCCUCUCCUCCCCUGCCCAGCAGAGACCAUGUACUGCCUUCAGUGGUUACUGCCUGUUCUGCUCAUCCCAAAGCCCCUCAACCCAGCUCUCUGGUUCAGUCACUCGAUGUUCAUGGGCUUCUACCUUCUGAGUUUCCUCCUGGAGCGGAAACCAUGCACGAUCUGUGCCUUGGUCUUCCUGGCAGCCUUGUUCCUUAUCUGUUACAGCUGUUGGGGGAACUGUUUCUUAUAUCACUGCACUGGCUCUCAUCUCCCUGACUCAGCUCACGAUCCCAGGAUAGUGGGGACUUAGGAUCCUCACAUGCUGCUAAUUGAUUGGCUUUAAAGAUGAGAACCCAAGGGUAAAGGAUGUUCACAAUAUGAUUGAUCACAGGUUUCCUGCACAUCUGUGUAGACUAGAUUAGUACAUUCCUGAUUGGGCAUCCUUCACCUGUGAUGUGUCACUUCCAGUUUUUUAUGAUGUGAACAACAGCACCACCAGGUACUUUUGAUUUGAAGCCCAGCAGUGGUCAGUGGUUGUUGCUGUUUUUCUUCCCUGCCUUCAUUCCUACACCUCACUGACUGGAUGAUCACCUUUCCAUCUCAGAUCCUGCCAGGGGACCAGACCCAACAUGGCCAGUCUAACUCUGUUGAUCCAGAGAUCUCUGCCCUGUGGCAGUAGCGUUCAUAUCUUGUUUUACCUAAAUGAACUUUGUCCAGAGUGCAAUUAGUUUCCUUCUCUCCAGCCUCUCAGCCUUAUAUUGCUCAUAGGGCCAGUUGAAUCAAUACAGGUCUCAUAAUUGUAGAAACUCCAGCUUUUCACAGAAGCCUCUGGCACCUGGGAGCUUCAGCUUCCUGCUCAGUAGGCUAGAAUGAAAUGUAUUUUGGCAGUUCAAUGCUGUUCACAUUUAAUUCUCCUGUUUCUUUUUUUUCAAGAAAUGAGAUCAUUUGUGGACUAGUUCCUGGGUAUCAGAACAUCUCUCCUUCACAGUGCCACAUCCCUCCCCAAUUUCUAGAAUUUACAGGGUUCUCAUUUCUUAGGGGAAGUACUAUGAGCUAUUGGGUUGGGUUUUUUUUUUUUUUUUUUUUUAAUCUUUGUCCCAAUUCCUUUAAAUCUGCUGAUUCCCACACAACUGGGUUGGGAAGCAGAUCUGCGCUUUCAAAAUGGUGAUGAGCAAUCAGUGGUUUUGGGUAGGGGGUUAUCUUGGUUUUUAUUAGCUGGGAAGGAUGUAUGUUGUGUAUUUGAAUUGGGAAUUUAUCACUAGCACAGUUGGUAUCUCUACAAUGGCAGAGAUUGUUGGAAGGACGCAAGCCCUGGAACACAUCAGCCUGAAUGAAACAACUCAGGAGAAGUGAUAAGAAGUAGCCACUUUCGUGCCAUACUGGGACCCCUAGGCUUUGUCGCUUCAAAGAUUCCAUAGUACAAACAAAUAUCCAGGAAGGAAACUUUGUUUUUCUUAGUAUGCUUCCAGUCUGAUCCACUUACUCAUCUCCCCUUGGAUUGACUGAGGAGUGGGAGGUGACCUGGGCAGAGGACUGAACUUGGUGCUUGUCACCUGGGGAAUUGGACCUAACAGCAACAUUUUUGAAAUUUAAGGGCUGCUGGUUAAAAACAUUGUUUUAUUUUUGGUUGGCUCAAUUGCACAGCUGUUUAAGAUGUUUAAUAAAAGCUUUAUAAACUUUGGUUUUUGGGCUCUUGAGUGAUU
rnacentral:lncRNA from 1 species